UACGUAGGGUGCGAGCGUUGUCCGGAAUUACUGGGCGUAAAGAGCUCGUAGGUGGUUUGUCGCGUUGUCCGUGAAAACUCACAACUCAAUUGUGGGCGUGCGGGCGAUACGGGCAGACUGGAGUACUGCAGGGGAGACUGGAAUUCCUGGUGUAGCGGUGAAAUGCGCAGAUAUCAGGAGGAACACCGGUGGCGAAGGCGGUUCUCUGGGCCUUACCUGACACUGAGGAGCGAAAGCGUGGGGAGCGAACAGG
rnacentral:rRNA from 1 species